CCUUUUUUUAUCUUUUUUCCUUCCUCAAGGCAUCUCUGCUCUUUCUCUGUAUCUGUUCAUCUCUUUCUGCCUUAUUCAUCUCGUGGUUCUUAAGUCGCGAUCAUCGUGAGCUGGAACAUCGCAGUCGUACUGGAGAACGGAAUCGCAGAUAGAGUCGCACAAAAGGAGAUAGAAGUCUGAUGAUCGGGGCAGAGGUCAUCAAAAAAGCAAGCUAAUGCAUGAAGUGGAGGCUGGAGAUCCUCGCUCCCUUCAACUACUUAAAGGAGAGGCCGAGAUAUGAUAGAGGGGGAGUAACCUGGUAGAUGGUUUUAUUAAAAAAAAAAAAAAAGGAAGAGUUGGCAUGAAGGAAGUUAUAGAGCAGAGAGAGACGAUCGGUGGUGACCCAAAUCGCAGAGAAAGGAACUUUAAACUAUUGCAGCCAAGCUCAAGAAGAUUGCAGAACUUACUCAGAAGCUGCAAGUCAUGUAGCAGACCAGGAAUUAAGUGGAGGAAAG